rnacentral:misc_RNA from 1 species
GUUCAGUGGUUGAUUCAUACUUUCAUUCAGUUUGGUUGGGUACGAUAGAGGAGAAACAGAGCUUCUCCCCUACCUCACUAGUCGCGCGGGUCUCAACGAAGAGACUCCACCACCAGUUCUGCGCUGCAGAGAGAACACUAACUCCUUGCAGAGUUAGCGACUCCAGCUCGAGCCGAAACUCUCGCUCGUUGUCUCUCGACUAUCGUCGGGUCAACUGGUAAUGAUCCUUCCGCAGGUUCACCUACGGAAA